CUGGAGAGGUCUAGAGGGAGGAGGAGAGACAUGCUGGGGCUGGAGAGGUCUAGAGGAGAGAGACAUGCUGGGGUUGGAGAGGUCUAGAGGAGAGAGACAUGCUGGGGCUGGAGAGGUCUAGAGGGAAGAGGAGAGACAUGCUGGGGCUGGAGAGGUCUAGAGGGAAGAGGAGAGACAUGCUGGGGCUGGAGAGGUCUAGAGGAGAGAGACAUGCUGGGGCUGGAGAGGUCUAGAGGGAGGAGGAGAGACAUGCUGGGGCUGGAGAGGUCUAGAGGAGAGAGACAUGCUGGGGUUGGAGAGGUCUAGAGGAGAGAGACAUGCUGGGGUUGGAGAGGUCUAGAGGGAAGAGGAGAGACAUACUGGGGCUGGAGAGGUCUAGAGGGAAGAGGAGAGACAUGCUGGGGCUGGAGAGGUCUAGAGG
ensembl:lncRNA